rnacentral:lncRNA from 1 species
UCACGUAAUGGUUAUUGUCUCUGUACAAAAUCAGUAAUGUUGCAUUACUUUUUUAAAUUUAAGUCUUGUCUCUUAACCUGCAUCAAAAUAAGUAAAAUCACCUAAAUUAUGCAAUAAAUAACUCAAUUAUGUAUUUAAAACAAGUGAUAAAAAUUUAUUUAUGCGCACUAUCAAAAAUUUUCUCACUUCUUAACCUAUAGAUGUCCAUACCUCUUCAAUUUUAGUAAUCUAUUAAUUUAUAGUUUAUUU